rnacentral:rRNA from 1 species
UACAGAGGUCCCAAGCGUUGUUCGGAUUCACUGGGCGUAAAGGGUGCGUAGGUGGUUGGGUAAGUCUGAUGUGAAAUCUCCGAGCCUAACUCGGAAACUGCAUCGGAUACUAUUCGGCUAGAGGGCUGGAGGGGGGACUGGAAUUCUCGGUGUAGCAGUGAAAUGCGUAGAUAUCGAGAGGAACACCAGUGGCGAAGGCGAGUCCCUGGACAGCUCCUGACGCUGAGGCACGAAAGCUAGGGGAGCAAACGGG